UACGGAGGGUGCAAGCGUUAUCCGGAUUCACUGGGUUUAAAGGGUGUGUAGGCGGGCUGUUAAGUCAGUGGUGAAAUCUCCGGGCUCAACCCGGAAACUGCCAUUGAUACUAUCAGUCUUGAAUAUUGUUGAGGUGGGCGGAAUAUGUCAUGUAGCGGUGAAAUGCAUAGAGAUGACAUAGAACACCGAUUGCGAAGGCAGCUCGCUGGGACGUUACUGACGCUGAGACGCGAAAGCGUGGGGAGCAAACAGG
rnacentral:rRNA from 1 species